ACUCCUACGGGAGGCAGCAGCAGGGAAUAUUGCACAAUGGGCGAAAGCCUGAUGCAGCGACGCCGCGUGGGGGAUGAAGGCCCUAGGGUCGUAAACCCCUUUCAGUGGGGACGAAACUGACGGUACCCACAGAAGAAGGUCCGGCCAACUACGUGCCAGCAGCCGCGGUAAGACGUAGGGACCAAGCGUUGUCCGGAUUUAUUGGGCGUAAAGAGCUCGUAGGCGGUUGCGUAAGUCGGAUGUGAAAACUUGGGGCUCAACCCCGAGACGCCAUCCGAUACUGCGCUGACUUGAAUCCAGUAGGGGAGUGUGGAAUUUGUUGUGUAGCGGUGAAAUGCGCAGAUAUAACAAGGAACACCUAUGGCGAAGGCAGCACUCUGGGCUGGUAUUGACGCUGAGGAGCGAAAGCGUGGGUAGCAAACAGGAUUAGAUACCCUGGUAGGUC
rnacentral:rRNA from 1 species